CGAGAACCCCGGAUCCGGAUAAGGAUAAUAAAAUUCCGGAUCCACUGGAUAAGAAUUCGGAUCAGGAUACCUUAAAAUUGCGCGGAUAUCCGAGCCGUCUCAUGCCCUAUCCGUGCGGACGCGUGGAUCAAAAUAAAGUAAUUAUUACGAGAGCGUCGAACGUAGUAGGGGUAAUAUAGUCAGCUAAAUUGGGUUAAUGGCUUCCAUCCAAGUUUUUUGGAAUCAAUCAUCAAUCAAAGCAAAGAAGGAAUCAACAGAGUUUUGAGUGAGUAUGGCUGGGAGAGCUUCGAUCCCUGCUCGCAACUCUGCCUCAUUGCAAUGAUCGCCGAUGAGGUGUAAUCUCAUUUUGUGUCGUCUCCCCUGCGUUGUUUCUUGUUAAUCUGCUGAGUUGAAUUCCUGCAAAACCUGCACCAGCACCAGGAGGACUAGGGGUUGUACCAGCAUUAGAGCUACCUUCGUUCCCAUUACUGGCUCUCUUGUUCUUCACUUUCUGUGCCCAACCAACAAGACCAACCUGCACAUUCUCCUCAAAUAUCGCUUUCUUGUAGUUACUUCCCAUCUGUUGUUAUAACAUAAAACAAGGAUAAGUUUUUUUCAGACAAGAAGUCGAAAAAGUACCAAACAGAUAAAUCCUGUAGCAUUUUCUUUACCUGAGAGACAAUGGCGUAAAGAGGCAGUGUACUAUAACUGCAAAGCACUUGAAUGAAGACUCUACACAGAAGAAGAUAAGAUAUAUAUGUGUAAAUGAAAAUGUAUUUAUUAAAAUAAAUAAAUUGACAAAAGGCAAAAAAUAAAUCAGUACCCAA